UGGGGAAUUUUGGACAAUGGGGGAAACCCUGAUCCAGCCAUCCCGCGUGUGCGAUGAAGGCCUUCGGGUUGUAAAGCACUUUUGGCAGGAAAGAAACGUCAUGGGUUAAUACCCCGUGAAACUGACGGUACCUGCAGAAUAAGCACCGGCUAACUACGUGCCAGCAGCCGCGGUAAUACGUAGGGUGCAAGCGUUAAUCGGAAUUACUAGGCGUAAAGCGUGCGCAGGCGGUUCGGAAAGAAAGAUGUGAAAUCCCAGAGCUCAACUUUGGAACUGCAUUUUUAACUACCGGGCUAGAGUGUGUCAGAGGGAGGUGGAAUUCCGCGUGUAGCAGUGAAAUGCGUAGAUAUGCGGAGGAACACCGAUGGCGAAGGCAGCCUCCUGGGAUAACACUGACGCUCAUGCACGAAAGCGUGGGGAGCAAACAGG
rnacentral:rRNA from 1 species